CCGCGACCGCCACCCAGCGCUUCCGCGCUGCCCUCGCCCGGGCGGUCCAGGGGGACCGAGGGCCGAAUUCUGGGUCGCCCCGAAGAUACUCGGGCGCUUCUGAGCUCGCCAGGCCUGACACUUCGCUCGGCUCCGCCUCCACAAAGGCACUCAGGCGUCGCCACUAUUUUUUACACACCAUAAAUACUCGGAAAGUGUUCCUCCAGCCUUAGCGUUGUUUUUGCAAAAUCACCUGAAUUAAAUACCUGAAAAUACUUUUGAUGCUGUUGAACUUGGCCACGAUAAAAACAUGUUUCUGUUCACCUCUCUCUGAGCAAAGACAAUGGAAUAUGGAGAGACAAGAGUGGAAAUAUGAAAGAGUCUUCAGAGUUCAUGCAGAAAGUCAGCAAUGGCUAAGGCUAAGAUAACAGCAAGUGGAUGAAGAGACAUAUGUAUUUUGGAAAUGCAGCUGAUUGGAAUUACAGGUAAAUUUAAUAGGGAGGAGGCAUUGCUGAGAAGGUAAGA
rnacentral:lncRNA from 1 species